rnacentral:rRNA from 1 species
AGGCACGCUGAUAUGUAGGUGAAGUGAUUUACUCAUGGAGCUGAAAUCAGUCGAAGAUACCAGCUGGCUGCAACUGUUUAUUAAAAACACAGCACUGUGCAAACACGAAAGUGGACGUAUACGGUGUGACGCCUGCCCGGUGCCGGAAGGUUAAUUGAUGGGGUUAUCCGUAAGGAGAAGCUCUUGAUCGAAGCCCCGGUAAACGGCGGCCGUAACUAUAACGGUCCUAAGGUAGCGAAAUUCCUUGUCGGGUAAGUUCCGACCUGCACGAAUGGCGUAAUGAUGGCCAGGCUGUCUCCACCCGAGACUCAGUGAAAUUGAACUCGCUGUGAAGAUGCAGUGUACCCGCGGCAAGACGGAAAGACCCCGUGAACCUUUACUAUAGCUUGACACUGAACACUGGUCCUUGAUGUGUAGGAUAGGUGGGAGGCUUUGAAGUGUGGACGCCAGUCUGCAUGGAGCCAUCCUUGAAAUACCACCCUUUAAUGGCUGGUGUUCUAACGUGGACCCGUAAUCCGGGUUGCGGACAGUGUCUGGUGGGUAGUUUGACUGGGGCGGUCUCCUCCUAAAGAGUAACGGAGGAGCACGAAGGUUAGCUAAUCCUGGUCGGACAUCAGGAGGUUAGUGCAAAGGCAUAAGCUAGCUUGACUGCGAGAGUGACGGCUCGAGCAGGUGCGAAAGCAGGUCUUAGUGAUCCGGUGGUUCUGAAUGGAAGGGCCAUCGCUCAACGGAUAAAAGGUACUCCGGGGAUAACAGGCUGAUACCGCCCAAGAGUUCAUAUCGACGGCGGUGUUUGGCACCUCGAUGUCGGCUCAUCACAUCCUGGGGCUGAAGUAGGUCCCAAGGGUAUGGCUGUUCGCCAUUUAAAGUGGUACGCGAGCUGGGUUUAGAACGUCGUGAGACAGUUCGGUCCCUAUCUGCCGUGGGCGCUGGAGAAUUGAGGGGGGCUGCUCCUAGUACGAGAGGACCGGAGUGGACGCAUCACUGGUGUUCGGGUUGUCAUGCCAAUGGCAUUGCCCGGUAGCUAAAUGCGGAAGAGAUAAGUGCUGAAAGCAUCUAAGCACGAAACUUGCCCCGAGAUGAGUUCUCCCUGAGACUUUAAGUCUCCUGAAGGAACGUUGAAGACGACGACGUUGAUAGGUCGGGUGUGUAAGCGUAGCGAUACGUUGAGCUAACCGAUACUAAUGAACCGUGAGGCUUAACCUUACAACGCCGAAG